rnacentral:lncRNA from 1 species
AAACAGUUGGUGCAAUAGUUUAAAUGUUUGUCCUCUCCCUAACACACGUUAAAAUUUAAUUGCCAUUGUCACAGUAUUAAGAGGAAGGACCUUUAAGAAGUGAUUAGGCCAUGGUGGUUCUUCCCUCAUGAAUAGAUCAAUGCUAUUAUCGUGGAAGUGGGCUUGUUAUUGCAGGAGUAGGUUCCUUACAAAAGGAUGAGUUCAGCCUCCUUUUGCCUCUUUCUCUCCCUCAUUCUCUUUUUGCCCUUCUUUCAUGGGAUGAUGCAGCAAGAAGGCCCUUGCCAGAUGCCAGCAACUUGAUAUUGAACUUCUCAUCCUCCAGAAUGGUUUGUUUUUCCUCUCUGUCAUACCUCAAGAGGAACACAAAGAGUGAUGGCCUGUCACUCUGAUGCCUCUCUCUACUCAAAUGGCAGAAACCAACCAGGUGAUGGCCACAGUGGCAGAACCUAGGAAGCCAAGAAGAAACCAGAGAAUGGAGACACAUGGCAGCAAUGGCAAGUCAUCAGACCCAGGAUUUCCCAAAGAACACUGGUCCAGGAAGAUGCUCUGUGAAAAAGUGUUCCCUGGUCGGAGAAAUUUGUGAAACACUUUGCAUAAUACUUAAAAGAAUGUAUGGCACAUCAAAGGUAAUAUGCAAUAAAAGAAUUCAUUUUUUUAAAACCAAGCAUAUGCACAACUUAUUUAACUAUGGAUUCGAUUUUUAGAUUCAUAUUUUUUGACCCACAUUUGUGGAGCCACAUCCAUAGAACAGAUUUGACCAUGCUUAUGGUUAUCAUUAAAAAAUUUUUUUAAAUUCAGAUUGAUUUUGGAAUUGGUUUCCCAUCAUAGUUCAA